AUUGAACGCUGGCGGCAUGCUUUACACAUGCAAGUCGAACGGUAACAGGUUAAGCUGACGAGUGGCGAACGGGUGAGUAAUGCAUCGGAACGUGCCCGGUCGUGGGGGAUAACGCAGCGAAAGCUGCGCUAAUACCGCAUACGAUCUGAGGAUGAAAGCGGGGGACCGUAAGGCCUCGCGCGAUCGGAGCGGCCGAUGUCAGAUUAGGUAGUUGGUGGGGUAAAGGCUCACCAAACCAGCGAUCUGUAGCUGGUCUGAGAGGACGACCAGCCACACUGGGACUGAGACACGGCCCAGACUCCUACGGGAGGCAGCAGUGGGGAAUUUUGGACAGUGGGCGAAAGCCUGAUCCAGCAAUGCCGCGUGCAGGAAGAAGGCCUUCGGGUUGUAAACUGCUUUUGUACGGAGCGAAAAGGUCUCCUCUAAUACAGGGGGCUCAUGACGGUACCGUAAGAAUAAGCACCGGCUAACUACGUGCCAGCCGCCGCAGUAA
rnacentral:rRNA from 1 species